GAAUGCCUAGAUGCGAUGGCUCAUCUACUGCCCUUCUGUGCAUGUAGAAUCACAUUGCCAUGUUAUAAGAAGACAAGCUUCACAAUGAAGUCAGUUAUCGUGCUAGCAAUUUCCCUUGGAGUCAGUACUUGGUGGGUGAUUGUACGAAAUAGAAGUUAUGGUUGGAUUUUACAAGACACGCUUGGUGUAUCAUUUUGCAUUUCACUGUUAAAGAAUCUUCGCUUACAGCAUGAAAAUCUGUACUUUGCUGCUUCUCUUACUUCUUGUUUAUGAUGUAUUCUUUGUGUUCAUCACACCUCUCUUCUCAGCCAGUCACAACAGUGUAAUGGUUGAUGUUGCAACAGGCGAAGGUCAUAAAGAACAGCUACCGAUGGUUCUGAAAGUUCCACGAAUUAUCCGUUCACCAUUGUUGAUUUGU